ACUACGCUGGCGGCGCGCCUAACACAUGCAAGUCGAACGGACUUUGGGACUUCGGUUCAAAGUUAGUGGCGGACGGGUGAGUAACGCGUAGAUGACGUGCCUUCCUCCUGGGGAUAACAACUCGAAAGGGUUGCUAAUACCGAAUACAUUUGCGAUUUUAUCAAUUGCAAAGAAAGUCGUAAGGCGGGGGAAGAGCGGUCUGCGUCCUAUUAGCUAGUUGGUAGGGUAACGGCCUACCAAGGCGACGAUGGGUAGCUGGUCUGAGAGGAUGAUCAGCCACACUGGGACUGAGACACGGCCCAGACUCCUACGGGAGGCAGCAGUGAGGAAUUUUGCACAAUGGGGGAAACCCUGAUGCAGCGACGCCGCGUGGGCGAAGACGGUCUUCGGAUUGUAAAGCCCUGUCAGUGGGAAAGAUAAUGACGGUACCCGCUGAGGAAGCUCCGGCAAACUCCGUGCCAGCCGCGGC
rnacentral:rRNA from 1 species